UGUGAGACUAAAAAUAUUUGAAAUCCUAACAGCACCAAUUUCUGUCUGAUCUUUGAAGCUAAGUCAGAUCAGACCUGGCUAGUACUUGAAUGGGGGACUACCGGUGAAAAUCAGGUGUGGCUUCAGAG
rfam:Anolis carolinensis unplaced genomic scaffold chrTn0131, whole genome shotgun sequence.